UAGCAAAUAGGAGGGAAGGGUUGGGGAGGGAGGGGGUUUGAGCAGCAAAUGUUUCCCAGUUAGGGCCCCUGUGUCCCACACACGGGUCCUAGCAAGUUGCUUUAUGAGGUGGGGAAGGGUUUCUACGUAAGGGCUGUCCCUCAGGGCUUUAGAACUGAUACCUGCCUAGUGAUGUAUUGACUGUUCAACACAGCUGAAACCUGUACUGGAUUUGGGGAAUAAAUCUGAGGUGUUUUACAUUCUUGCAGUGACCAAGGAUUAACCUGAAGUAUGUCCUGUUUGGAUAUGACUCGUCACAAAGUCCCCUGUUUGACUGGGAGAUGAUCUUUUUCCACCUGCUUUCUAUGAAGACGAUAAAGUCUGACUAAAGCAAAUACCUGAGCCUGAACAAGAGCUGGCAGUAGAAGAGGAGCCAGGGAGAUGGGAGCAACAUUACCUCACCUGAUGCUGCUCAGAGUAGGCAUGGGACUCAUCUGGAGAGCACCGCUGCCUGUGGGCAAGAUUUUGGCUUUUCUUGCUGAAAAUGACAUGCCAUUAGUCAGGAGUAACCAACCUUGAAAAGUGUAUUUGCUAUGACUCCCAUCUCCCCUGUGAACGACAUUCCUGCUGCUUCAAGCUUUUUUGGUUGCAGUGUUGACACUUCUUCAGAUCUGUCAUUAGCUUAGCUGAAGAGAAAACAGAAACGCUAUUCAAGACCCAGAUCCAAUGUGGGAGGUUAGGAGUGCAAAUUCUCACUUCACACUGAAAGCACGAUGAAUGUUUUAUGUUACUGUUGUUCUUUCUAUUUUAGGGGAUGCCUUUAUUAUUUUAUAAGCCCCUUGCUGUCAUAUAAAGCAUCUUUUUUAAGGUAAUCUACUGAAAUCAUGCUCAUAUAACUUAAAAUUAGAUCUUUCACAUUGCUAAGAAUUAGUCUGGCAGUUCUUAGAUUUUUGCUUGUACUGUAUAAAUUUCUACUUCUGGUUUUAAAGGUAUCUAACCUUCUUGCUUUUUUUUUUAAUGUAUUUUAAGACUUCUGUGGUGAAAUCUGAUUCAGCUUUACACCAUGAGUACUCCAAUUUCUCUCAAAUCCACGUUUUCUGGUUGUAAGCUGUUGAUUCCACCCUCACUCUGCAUCUUCACAUUGUAUUUUCAUUACAUGUGAUAAAGAUCAAAAGAUUUUUGGCUUGGUUCCAGAGGAUUGUUAAGAAUAUAAACUGACCUGUGACUGAGAUCAA